AAAUUUUUUAUUCACAUGAGUCAUAAUAAAAGAUUGCGAUCGGAAUGAUGACCAUUCACACUGAUGCAUAAUUAAAUUUCUUCGGAAAUAUACGAGAGUAUGUAUAAAAAUUGAAGAAUAUACGAAGAAUACAAAAAAUAAAUAGACAUUACUUACAAACACCAAAAUGAAAUGUUAAUAAUAUGCGAUAUAAUAACCAUUUGCAUUAACGCAAUAUUUAAUAGCUUUCUUCAGGAAUUAUGUAUUUCUAUUUUUUAUUUCCGGCUGAAUUAUCGAUAAAAAUCCAAUUGAUUGAAAUUUAAAGACCGUUGACAAACUUUUUCGUAUUUUUCAAAGAAAAUAUAAAAAAGAAAUCUGAACGAUUAAAUCUAUAAUGAAACGGAGUCAGGCCAAGAUAAAACGAAGUGCAAAAUGUUGUUUGGUUUCAUUGAUAUUUUUAUUACAAUAAUUCCAUAUGAAGAGAUGAAGAUAAAUAUAGAAAUGUCGAAGUAAAAAUGGAAAGUUGCGUGACAUUACAUACUAUUUUGUAAUAUUAUGUAAUAACAAUAUACAAUAGGUAGGCUAUACGGUAAUAUCACAAUGCAUGAUUCACAACUUCGUAAAAGUCUAGAGAAGAGAAUAUAAAUUUUAAAGAUACCAGGGACACGUAUCAUCUAUGCCCCUAUUUAUUUCUCUUGAAGACAAAACGUUAUUAUUAUUAUUAUUAUUAUUAUUAUAUCAAUUAGAAAACGUACGAUGAAAAAAGUGUAUUCUUUUCCUCGUAUUCUUCUUCCUUAUUAUACUACACACACUUUUGAGAGAAUUGGAUAUACGUGUUUAUACGUACGACAAGUGUAUGCUUGCGUUUGAAUAAAUUCCAAUUCGUAAUCAAUUGUCGUUUAUCGCCUUCAAUAUAAUUAUAAUAGAAUAUCGACGAUGCUAAAAGCUAAUAGUGGUGUACUCACUUUAUAGUAAUAGUAUUCUUCUUAAUUUUUAAUAAUAAUUAGAAUAAUCAUAAUAGUAAUAAUAGUGAUUCACGAUAACAAUAAUAAUGAUCAAUUAUAUCAUGGACAACAGACGCGUAUGGUUCUUUUCUUUCCUUUUUUUUCGUUUCUUUUAUUUUCAUCUAUCUUUCUCUAAUUUUUCAUUCUGUAUAACGUUUGAUUGCAUGAUUGAUAUGACGUUCCCUAGCUCUUCUGACAUGAUCGUUAUGUAUCUUUCGAAUGAUCGUUUAAAAAAUCGCAUGAAAAUAAAUUACUAUACGCUACCGUAGUCGAGAAGUCUUAUGAGCGACGGAAUAAACUUAAAGGCUCGUAUUCAUAACACUGUAUUAUCACUAAACGAUACACCUUUUGUUUCACGAGCGUUUGAAAACGACGUUUUCUUUCUUUUUUUUUUUUUUUU